rnacentral:lncRNA from 13 species
AGCACCUGCCUAUAAUAAAUACAUCGUAGCCUACAAGAACACAACUGUUGCAACAGUAUUAGUAUUUUCAUCAGCAUCACAAAACUCCUUGUCUGAAAUGUGCCGAGAAAUUAAAAAUGUGUGUUAUUGAUAUAGCCUACACACACUAGUGGUCUGCAUUGCAACCCUGACAGAUUACACCCAGGUCGGCCUACAACAAACAUUUCCAUAAGAGUGGUGGAAAAAGACUUGUCCUUGGUUUAUUUUAGAAUUGGGUGUGACUACUAACUGGCAAUGGUCAGUCAUCCAUCCNNNNNNNNNNACUUCGUAAUUGGGGGAUCAUCAUAUUCAUGCGGGUUUAUUUUGCUUUGGAAUUCUUUAUCUGUUCUUGCUCUUGACAUGAUAUCCACGGCAGAUUUUUUUUUUUAACCAUGUCUUUUAUAAUUAAUUUGGCAAUCUGCUAAACUUUGGGGAGAGCAUACAAUAUUCUGUCUGUCGAUCACUUUGGAUACUGCGAGCUAUGUUGCCAAGAUGUUACAAGAGACCAAUGUUUCGUCCUUUUUUCUGGAAACAGUCUUAACGCUCUUAUUGCAAACAAAUGUAAAAGUACAAUGAUACAUUCAUACUGAAACCAAGGGAUUACACACAGAAGGACGGUGGAGAAUGGCUUCGAAGGAGAGGUUGAAUGAGCUGUGGAUUUUAUAUUACACCAAGAAAGAUGAGGGCUGCCUGCAGCAGUGGCUGGAGGCUUUUGUGGCUUCCUUUGAGAAGCUUGUUGAUGUGCAGUCACUGGAGCCUCGCAGGUGAGUUGACUGAUUGGCUCAAAUGUAUUUCCUUCGUCCCAAAUUGCAAUCUAUUCCCUGUACUACGUUUGACCAGAUCCUAGAUCUGUGACAAGGGGAAACCUCAGGGCACUGGUCACAGGGUGUGUGACCAGCUGGCUGAUACCUUGUNNNNNNNNNNUGACUGAUUGGCUCAAAUGUAUUUCCUUCGUCCCAAAUUGCAAUCUAUUCCCUGUACUACGUUUGACCAGAUCCUAGAUCUGUGACAAGGGGAAACCUCAGGGCACUGGUCACAGGGUGUGUGACCAGCUGGCUGAUACCUUGUCAUCUAAAAGGCUUCAAAGUGGAUCUGAGCAAUGAGACAGUUGUAAAAGUACUUCAUUUUAAAUAAACUGCAGACUUGGAAAGUAAAUUCACAUGGCUGGGGGCUAAAAUAAACACAGUCUCUUCCACACAGUCAG